CGGCGGACGGGUGAGUAACGCGUGGGUAACCUGCCUCAUACAGGGGGAGAACAGUUGGAAACGGCUGCUAAUACCGCAUAAGCGCACAGUACCGCAUGGUACGGUGUGAAAAACUCCGGUGGUAUGAGAUGGACCCGCGUCUGAUUAGGUAGUUGGUGGGGUAACGGCCUACCAAGCCGACGAUCAGUAGCCGACCUGAGAGGGUGACCGGCCACAUUGGGACUGAGACACGGCCCAA
rnacentral:rRNA from 1 species